CGUAGGGUGCGAGCGUUAAUCGGAAUUACUGGGCGUAAAGCGUGCGCAGGCGGUUUUGUAAGACAGAUGUGAAAUCCCCGGGCUCAACCUGGGACCUGCAUUUGUGACUGCAAGGCUAGAGUACGGUAGAGGGGGAUGGAAUUCCGCGUGUAGCAGUGAAAUGCGUAGAUAUCCGGAGGAACACCGAUGGCGAAGGCAGUCCCCUGGACCUGUACUGACGCUCAUGCACGAAAGCGUGGGGAGCAAACAGGAUUAGAUACCCUGGUAGUCCACGCCCUGAACGAUGUCAACUGGUUGUUGGGUCUUUACUAACUCAGUAACGAAGCUAACGCGUGAAGUUGACCGCCUGGGGAGUACGGCCGCAAGGUUG
rnacentral:rRNA from 1 species